rnacentral:misc_RNA from 1 species
GAUCAGAGGAGGUCCCAAAAGUAACGUUAUAUUCAAUUCCAAGAUUGAUUCCUCUUCCAUUAUCAUCAUUCAUUGGAAGCUCCGGAGGUGAUAUCUGUUAAUUUGGAUUGAAUUUUAAGAUAAACAAAAUAGCCAUGUAUUCCGACCUGGUGGAAAUUGCACCAAGGGAACUCCAGUUCACAUUUGAACCCAAGAAGCAAAGCUCUUGCACUAUUCGACUAAUCAAUAAGUCCCAAAAUCAUGUUGCUUUUAAGGUCAAGACUACUAGUCCAAAGAAAUAUUGUGUUAGACCAAAUACAGGAACUAUUAAGCCAAGAGCAUCCUGUGAUUUUACAGUGACCAUGCAGGCACAAAAGGCACCUCCUCCUGAUAUGGCAUGCAAGGAUAAGUUCUUAGUUCAAUGCACAGUUGUGGCAGAAGAGACUGUUGAGG